rnacentral:rRNA from 1 species
UACGUAGGGGGCUAGCGUUGUCCGGAAUCAUUGGGCGUAAAGCGCGCGUAGGCGGCCCGAUAAGUCUGCUGUGAAAGUCCAGGGCUCAACCCUGGAAUGCCGGUGGAUACUGUCGGGCUAGAGUUCGGAAGAGGCAAGUGGAAUUCCUGGUGUAGCGGUGGAAUGCGUAGAUAUCCGGAGGAACACCGGUGGCGAAGGCGGCUUCCUGGACCGACACUGACGCUGAGGCGCGAAAGCUAGGGGAGCAAACGGG